CAAUAGCGUAUAUUAAAGUUGUUGCAGUUAAAAAGCUCGUAGUUGGAUUUGUGGCGUACGGUGUGUUCCGGGCACUUGUUGUCUGAGUAACCUGCUGUUGCCAUCCUUGGGUGGAACCUGUGUGGCAUUAGGUUGUCGUGCAGGGGAUGCCCAUCAUUUACUGUGAAAAAAUUAGAGUGUUCAAAGCAGGCUUAUGCCGUUGAAUAUAUUAGCAUGGAAUAAUGAGAUAGGACUUUUUUGCUAUUCUGUUGGUUUGCGCAAAGAGGUAAUGAUUAAUAGGGACAGUUGGGGGUAUUCGUAUUCCAUAGUCAGAGGUGAAAUUCUUGGAUUUUUGGAAGACGAACUACUGCGAAAGCAUUUACCAAGGAUGUUUUCAUUAA
rnacentral:rRNA from 1 species